rnacentral:piRNA from 1 species
UGUCAGAUAACUUCAAUGUACCUUAGCUGA